rnacentral:rRNA from 1 species
AAUCAACGCUGGCGGCGUGCCUCAGACAUGCAAGUCGAACGAGAACCUCCCUUCGGGGGAGGAGACAGUGGCGCACGGGUGAGUAACACGUGGGUAAUUUACCUUUGGGUGGGGAACAACAGCCGGAAACGGCUGCUAAUACCGCAUAAUGCAGCGGCUCGACAUCGAGACAGUUGUUAAAGCGGGGGAUCGCAAGACCUCGCGCCUGAAGAGAAGCCUGCGGCGGAUUAGCUAGUUGGUAGGGUAAUGGCCUACCAAGGCGACGAUCUGUAACCGGCCUGAGAGGGCGGUCGGUCACACUGACACUGACAUACGGGUCAGACUCCUACGGGAGGCAGCAGUCGGGAAUUUUGGGCAAUGGGCGAAAGCCUGACCCAGCAACGCCGCGUGAAGGAUGAAGCUUUCGGAGUGUAAACUUCAUAAGAAUGGGAAGAAUAAGUGUGGGAUAAUACCCUUCACGAUGACGGUACCAUUUGUAAGCUCCGGCUAACUCCGUGCCAGCAGCCGCC